rnacentral:rRNA from 1 species
UUGGAGGGCAAGUCUGGUGCCAGCAGCCGCGGUAAUUCCAGCUCCAAUAGCGUAUACUAAAGUUGUUGCAGUUAAAAAGCUCGUAGUUGAAUUUCGGGAUUGACACAUCGGUCGUGCCUUAAGGGGUAUGAACUGGUGUAGCCAAUUUCUCACCUUCUGGAGAACCGCGAUGUCCUUAAUUGGGUGCCGCGAGGAACCAGGACCUUUACUUUGAAAAAAUUAGAGUGUUUAAAGCAGGCAUUUUGCUUGAAUACAUUAGCAUGGAAUAAUAAAAUAGGACGGCAUGAUUCUAUUUUGUUGGUUUCUAGGAUCACCGUAAUGAUUAAUAGGGAUAGUUGGGGGCAUUAGUAUUCAAUUGUCAGAGGUGAAAUUCUUGGAUUUAUUGAAGACUAACUACUGCGAAAGCAUUUGCCAAGGAUGUUUUCAUUAAUCAAGAACGAAAGUUAGGGGAUCGAAGACGAUCAGAUACCGUCGUAGUCUUAACCAUAAACUAUGCCGACUAGGAAUCAGACGAUGUUAAUUUUUUAAUGACUCGUUUGGCACCUUACGGGAAACCAAAGUGUUUGGGUUC